UACGUAGGGUGCGAGCGUUGUCCGGAAUUAUUGGGCGUAAAGAGCUCGUAGGCGGUUUGUCGCGUCGACUGUGAAAACCUACAGCUUAACUGUGGGCUUGCAGUCGAUACGGGCAGACUUGAGUUCGGUAGGGGAGACUGGAAUUCCUGGUGUAGCGGUGAAAUGCGCAGAUAUCAGGAGGAACACCGGUGGCGAAGGCGGGUCUCUGGGCCGAUAUCGACGCUGAGGAGCGAAAGCGUGGGGAGCGAACAGG
rnacentral:rRNA from 1 species